AUACGGAGGAUCCGAGCGUUAUCCGGAUUUAUUGGGUUUAAAGGGUGCGCAGGCGGCCAUUUAAGUCAGCGGUUAAAUCGUGGGGCUCAACCCCAUUCUGCCGUUGAUACUGGGUGGCUUGAUUGCGGUCGAGGUUGGCGGACUUCGUUGUGUAGCGGUGAAAUGCAUAGAUAUGACGAAGAACACCGAUUGCGUAGGCAGCUGACCAGACCGCAAAUGACGCUCAUGCACGAAAGUGCGGGGAUCGAACAGGAUUAGAUACCCUGGUAGUCCGCACAGUAAACGAUGAAUACUUGUUUUCGGCGAUAUAAUGUCGGAGGCGAAGCGAAAGCGAUAAGUAUUCCACCUGGGGAGUACGCCGGCAACGGUGAAACUUAAAGGAAUUGACGGGG
rnacentral:rRNA from 1 species